rnacentral:rRNA from 1 species
UACGUAGGGUGCGAGCGUUAAUCGGAAUUACUGGGCGUAAAGCGUGCGCAGGCGGUUCGUUAAGUUCGUUGUGAAAGCCCCGGGCUCAACCUGGGAACUGCAAUGGAAACUGGCGGGCUUGAAUGCGGCAGAGGGGGUGGAAUUCCGCGUGUAGGCAGGUGAAAUGCGUAGAGAUGCGGAGGAACACCGAUGGCGAAGGCAGCCCCCUGGGCCGACAUUGACGCUCAGGCACGAAAGCGUGGGAGCAAACAGG